AGUGGGAUUGCUGGGUAUGUGAUAAGUUUAAAUUUAUUAAGAAACUGCCAAAUUGUUUUCCAAAGUAGCUGUAUCAUUUUGCAUUACCAUCAGCAAU
rnacentral:pre_miRNA from 2 species